GGUGGUUAUUGCGUCGGGGCUCACCUCUUCCCAUUCCGAACAGAGAAGUUAAGCCCGAUUGCGCAGAUGGUACUGCCAUCAGGUGGGAGAGUAUGUCGCCGCCUU
rnacentral:rRNA from 1 species